GUGCUUAACACAUGCAAGUCGAACGCUGAAGCUUGGUGCUUGCACUGGGUGGAUGAGUGGCGAACGGGUGAGUAUCACGUGAGUAACCUGCCCCUGACUUCGGGAUAAGCCUGGGAAACUGGGUCUAAUACCGGAUAUGACCAUCUUUCGCAUGUUGGGUGGUGGAAAGUUUUUCGGUUGGGGAUGGGCUCGCGGCCUAUCAGUUUGUUGGUGGGGUAAUGGCCUACCAAGACGACGACGGGUAGCCGGCCUGAGAGGGCGACCGGCCACACUGGGACUGAGACACGGCCCAGACUCCUACGGGAGGCAGCAGUGGGGAAUAUUGCACAAUGGGGGAAACCCUGAUGCAGCGACGCCGCGUGGGGGAUGACGGCCUUCGGGUUGUAAACCUCUUUCAGUAGGGAAGAAGCCUUUGGGUGACGGUACCUGCAGAAGAAGUACCGGCUAACUACGUGCCAGCAGCCGCGGUAAUACGUAGGGUACAAGCGUUGUCCGGAAUUAUUGGGCGUAAAGAGCUCGUAGGUGGUUUGUCGCGUCUGCUGUGGAAUCGUGCCGCUUAACGGUGCGCGUGCAGUGGGUACGGGCAGACUGGAGUGCAGUAGGGGAGUCUGGAAUUCCUGGUGUAGCGGUGAAAUGCGCAGAUAUCAGGAGGAACACCGGUGGCGAAGGCGGGACUCUGGGCUGUUACUGACGCUGAGGAGCGAAAGCAUGGGGAGCGAACAGGAUUAGAUACCCUGGUAGUCCA
rnacentral:rRNA from 1 species